AUUGAACGCUGGCGGCAGGCCUAACACAUGCAAGUCGAACGAGGGGCGGACGGGUGAGAAAUGUCUGGGAAACUGCCUGAUGGAGGGGGAUAACUACUGGAAACGGUAGCUAAUACAGAAUACAAUCGGAUGUGCGCAGAGGGGCUUUGCGAGUAGGUGGGGUAAAGGCUAACCUAGGCGACGAUCCCUAGCUGGUAUGAGCGGAUGACCAGCCACACUGGAAGUGAGACACGGCCCAGACUCCUACGGGAGGCAGCAGUGGUGAAUAUUGCACAAUGGGCGCAAGCCUGAUGCAGCCAUGCCGCGUGUAUGAAGAAGGCCUUCGGGUUGUAAAGUACUUUCAGCGGGGAGGCGUUACCCGCAGAAGAAGCACCGGCUAACUCCGUGCCAGCAGCCGCGGUAAUAC
rnacentral:rRNA from 1 species